GAUCAUGGCUCAGAUUGAACGCUGGCGGAAUGCUUUACACAUGCAAGUCGAACGGUAGAGGGGGCAACCCCUUGAGAGUGGCGAACGGGUGAGUAAUAUAUCGGAACGUGCCCAGUCGUGGGGGAUAACGUAGCGAAAGUUACGCUAAUACCGCAUACGAUCUACGGAUGAAAGUGGGGGAUCGCAAGACCUCAUGCUCAUGGAGCGGCCGAUAUCUGAUUAGCUAGUUGGUAGGGUAAAAGCCUACCAAGGCUUCGAUCAGUAGCUGGUCUGAGAGGACGACCAGCCACACUGGGACUGAGACACGGCCCAGACUCCUACGGGAGGCAGCAGUGGGGAAUUUUGGACAAUGGGCGCAAGCCUGAUCCAGCAAUGCCGCGUGCAGGAAGAAGGCCUUCGGGUUGUAAACUGCUUUUGUACGGAACGAAACGGUCCUGGUUAAUACCCGGGGCUAAUGACGGUACCGUAAGAAUAAGCACCGGCUAACUACGUG
rnacentral:rRNA from 1 species